CACCUACUCGCUCAAAAUUUUAUUGCCCUAGCUUCUCGCCCCUGCCCUAGCCGCUCGCCGAUCGCCAUCGGAAGCUCCCGCAGGGCCACACGACGCUCGACAUCCAAGAUCGGGUUCUUUAGAACCCUUCUCGCCCCGGGCCGCGCACCGCUCGCCAUCGGAACGCCCCGCGAAGCCGAGCAUCGGAAGUUCGGUACCACCCCGGCCGCGCACCGCUCGCCAUCGGAACCCCCGCGAGGCGGAGCAUCGGAAGUUCGGAACCCCCGUGAGGCCGCGCACCACUCGCAAUCUGGUUCCGAGUUCCGCUGCCGCACGACCGCUUCAUCUGGUGCACCCCUGCGGCUUGCGCCUGGCUCUAAAGCCCUUUGUUCCUUGGUACACCUUGGGCAUUUUCAAACACUGCCCUGUAGCUGCCAAGCCUCCGCAUUAGGCUUCAGUCAUGACAGCUGCCCAAUCCAAACUAUACUCGGAUGAUGUCAGCCUCAUUGUUGUCCUCCUCGACACCAACCCCUUCUUUUGGGCUGCCUCCACUAGUGGCAACCUCCCGUUCUCCAACUUUCUCAAUCAAGUCAUUCCAUUUCUGAAUUCUCUUCUCCUCCUCAACCAACACAAUCAAGUGGUUCUCAUUGCCACCGGCGUCAACUCCUGCGACUACAUAUAUGACUCCGCUGAAGCAGGAGGACGAAACUCUAUUGAUGCUGCGAAUGUGGCCGCCAUCUCCUCCACCAUCCUUAAUAGGCUGGAGAAUUUCGUCACUAAGGAUGCCCGCUUGGCAAAGGGAUCUGAUAAAGCGGCUGCCGGGGGUAACGGCAUAUCGUCACUCCUUUCAGGCUCGCUAUCCAUAGCUCUUUGUUAUAUACAAAGGGUUUUCCGAUCUGGUGCUCGCCAUCCCGAGCCUCGAAUUUUAUGCCUGCAGGGUUCUCCAGAUGGACCUGAACAGUAUGUACGGAAUUGUUCUAUUUGCAAUGUUGAUGACUUGUUUGACUUCAAAUAUGUGGUGGUGAAUUUGCAGAUAUGUAGCAGUAAUGAAUGCAAUAUUUUCAGCUCAGCGCUCUAUGGUAUAUGCUUGUUACUUUUUGACGAGAUUUUAAGUGCCCAUCGACACGGGCCGUGCCCACCAUGCUGUACCAUACCAACAAGAUAUCGGCAUAGUGCAACCCCGGCUUCGUAUAUUACUGGUGGAGUUUAUUUGAAGCCGCAACAUCUGGAUGGUCUAUUCCAAUAUCUUGCAGCAGUUUUUGCAUCUGAUUUGCAGUCACGAAGUUUUCUGCGACUGCCUAAACCUGUAGGAGUUGAUUUCCGCGCCUCAUGUUUCUGUCACAAGAAAACAAUCGACAUGGGAUAUGUUUGUUCAGUUUGCCUGUCAAUAUUCUGCAAGCAUCAGAAGAUGUGUUCCACCUGUGGGGGCCAGCAUCUUACCUUGUGGUAGGAGGACGGGUUGGGCUUAGUCAUGUUCGAAAUGGCGGGAGACUUGAUUGGGUCGAGUCAUGUUCGAAGAGGCAGGAGGCCGAGUCACGAUCGAGAUCCUUGCGUGCUAUGUCUGUCUGAUCUCAAUCAGUCCCCUCCUGAUUCCACUCGAGUUUCCAGAUCAUAACCUCAGAAGUUGAGAGUGAUCAGAGCGCUUCACAUUAUGGGAUGGGUGAAUGUUUGACGUCUGAACUUCAUUAGCCUAAUGAGCCAUACUGGCUGGUGGGAGAAGUUGAAGUCAUCCUUGAAGAAAAAUGAAAAUUUUGAAUAGAAGCAGAGGUGAAAAGAAGACCAAAAAUAACUUAUGCGUGAACAGUGGGCGUAGGAGCUAAGCUGGUUCCGAGAAGUUUGUUAUGAAAUUCGGAAGGCAUCAAGUUUUAGCGAUGUGUUUUAGUGUCACCUGAAACGAUAAAAAUAGUUGGCAGUAAACUGAGGCACAAUUACUAUAAUGAAUCCAGCUUAGCAUGUUUUUAAGAGUUGCUAUUAUGGGGAGUUAAAAGAAAUUAUUAGCAUUUGAGUAUUUGAAGUGUCUUUGUAAACUGAAUUUAUAAUAUUUAGAGACCAUUUACCAGGUCGUUGAGAAGGCUUAAAAAUCAA